rnacentral:rRNA from 1 species
UACGUAGGUGGCAAGCGUUGUCCGGAUUUACUGGGCGUAAAGGGCGCGUAGGCGGCCGGCCAAGUCGGGGUGAAAGCCUGUGGCUCAACCACAGAAUGGCCCUCGAUACUGGACGGCUCGAGGCCGGAAGAGGUUGGUGGAAUUGCGAGUGUAGAGGUGAAAUUCGUAGAUAUUCGCAAGAACACCGGUGGCGAAGGCGGCCAACUGGUCCGGAUCUGACGCUGAGGCACGAAAGCGUGGGGAGCAAACAGG